GUCAAGUAAGACUCCAUCAUCACCUUCCAGCAAAGAAGGAGUGGGGAGAUCUGAGAAUCGAUACUGAACAGCUUCAGUACUACGAUGCCAUAAUGGGGCUGUGAGCUCAGCCGAAAGCCCCCCGCCCAGUUUUUUUUGGAAGUGGUCAUAGAAUCUCUCUGGAGAAACAACAUGGAAAUGGAGACCAAAAGAGGGAAGGAGGGAUGCCACCAGAUGACACUGGGAUCCCGGAAGACGGAACACUGUGUGCAACGGGCAAAGGCUCAGUACUUUACAGACGUCACCUCACGUAACCCACGCCACAACCGGGAGAAAGACAUGAUUGGCGUUGUACCCACGAGGAAACAGAGAGGGAAGGGAGCUGUCCAGGACCACAGGGUUGGUUGGUGGAGCAGGCAGGAAAGCCUCACGGAAGAGAACUUUUCAAAAGGGAUUUCAACCUCUGACCACCUGGAGACAGGCGACUGGCGCUCAUUGUAAAUGCACCGACAUGACAGGGAACAGCUGCUGGGGAGGUGGAGACGGGUGCGGGGAGAGACAGGAAACCCCAGAGGCUUGGAAAUCCAGGAGCCACAGGAAGCAGUGAGCUUUCUGCGGAGCCGGAUCCGGUGGAGCCAAUUCACCAGCAGGUCCCGGCAGCGACUCUUCUACAACAGAUUCCUGCCCGUCCCUGUGCCCCAUCGCCCCCCUGCCGUCAAUCUCCACCUCAAGGGAGCCAGACCAAGCCUUUCUGUGUGUAGCGCACAUCUCUCCUGCGUAGAGCUCACCUAGUGGCUUCCAUAGCUUUUUUUUUUUUUUUUUUUUUUUGAGACAGGGUCUUGCCCUGUCACCCAGGCUGGGGUACGGUGGCAUGAUCAUGGCUCACUGCAGCUCGCUCCUGGGCUCAAGUGAUCCUCCUGCCUCAACCUCUCAAGUAGCUGGGACUACAGUCGUGCACCACCCCACCCAGCUAAUUACUAUUUUUUGUAGACGUGGGAUCUUGCUAUGUUGCCCAGGCUGGUCUUGAACUCCUGGCCUCAAGCAACCUUCUCACUUCAGCCUCCCUAAGUGCUGGAAUUAUAGGUAUGAGCCAUCCCGCCAGUCUUCCAUGGCAUUUCUAACAAUAUCCUUGAAGGACCUCUGUGAAUCCCUUUCCCAAUGUCUAUCUGCACUGUCCCUGUCCCAGGCUGAUCCUGCUCAGACACACUGGCUUGCUUUCUGGUCCUCUCACAAGCCAACCCUGUCCCCACCCCAGGGCCUUUGCACUUAUGGUUUUGCCUCUACCUAAAUACCCUAUACCAGUGCUGUCUGAUAGAAAUAUGUAAUAAUGGGGGCCGGGCGUGGUGGCUCACGCCUGUAAUCCCAGCACUUUUGGGAGGCCGAGAUGGGCAGAUCACGAGGUCAGGAGAUCGAGACCAUCCUGGCUAACACAGUGAAACCCCCUCUCUACUAAAAAUACAAAAAAUUAGCCAGGCGUGGUGGCGUGUGCCUGUAGUCCCAGCUACUCAGGAGGCUGAGGCAGGAGAAUGGCGUGAACCCGGGAGGCGGAGCUUACAGUGAGGCGGAGCUUACAGUGAGCUGAGAUCACACGCCACUGCACUCCAGCCUGGGUGACAGAACGAGACUCCAUCUCAAAAAAAAAAAAAAAAAAAAAGUAAUAAUGGGAGCCUCAUAUGUAAUUGUACAUUUUCUAGCAGUAAGAGGAAAUUAAAUUUAAUAAUAUAUUUUAUUUCACCCAAUAGAUCCAAAAUAGUAUCACUUCAAUGUGUAAUCAGUAUUUAAAAAUUCC
rnacentral:lncRNA from 1 species